CUGAGUCCAGUCAGGUGUCCUACCAAUGAAUCUGGGCCAGUGGUCAUGGAGUCCCUUCCCCUAAACCAAUCCCUGUAUCUGCCCUUGGAUCCUGACACAAGGGGCACCAGAGGCACUUCCCACUUUAGUUAGAAGUUUCCUUCCUGGGUUGUAUAUGCUCUGAAUUCUCUCCCUUCCAGGCACUCCUCUGGCUGUGUGAUGAUUUAUGUAAACGUGGAGUGUUGGACUGUUCAGCUCUUCUGGAUUACUGUUCCACAGGACAGGAGUUGGGUCUGUUCUCAUCAACCUCAGGAUCCCCCUGGCUCAAUACAGGCACUCCAUAAGGACACAGAGGCCCUGAGAAAUAAAGCAACUUGCCCUGAUCACCCAGAUGCAAGUCAGUCUGACGCCAGAGCCUGGAAGGAGAGCUCAGUAGCUGCAAUCACAAGACUCUGACAACUGAGGAUCUGGUGGUUUGGUUUACUUCGACUCACCACCCAAAGGUGUCAAAUAAUCACUGCAAAUGGGAGGGGUACGUGGUGGCAGCGAGCAAGAUGGUAAAAAAACUAACCUAGGUCAAGAAUCUCAGUGUGAUCAAAUGGAUGCAUGGACAGAAUGGCCAGACCUCAGAAGGGGAUCUCUGACAAGAGUGAUGUCCAAGGGCACCCUGAUUCUGCUGGUUCCCAGCUCACCCACUCAACCCACAUCUGCGGAGCAUGGCCCUGGGAGACGGGAAGAAAUGCAAUAUACUCUAUCAAGUUUCAGAGACAUGGCCUGGAGACAUGACUGGGAUCUACGUGGAGGAGAGCUGGGGUCAACAAAGUGGAGCACACGCUACAGAUUACAGCUGCCAUACACGGAAUGUGACACCUCCAUGUCAGUGACCGCCUUGUCACUGGGUUACCCCAGCAAGGGUGGGACUGAGAUUGCUCCCUGGGUGUUCGGAAACAUGUACUCCAGAGCUCCCAGGGCUGCACCCAUGAUGCAGCUGGACAUCCGGGAGGGUCUGAACACAGUGAAAUGAAGGAGAAAACCAGA